GUGAAUCAUCAAAUCUUUGAACGCAAAUUGCACUUUCUGGUAUUCCGGAAAGUAUGCCUGUUUGAGGGUCAGUUAAAUAAAAAUCGGUGUUAUUGCUAUUAUUGGUGAUGCAUCGGAAUUGAGUCGUCUUUACCUUUGUUUGUAAGUGACUUAAAAUUAUGUACGAUUUCUGAACGUAUUUAAAUAAUUUACUUACGCUCAUGAUAUCACAUAUUAGAUUCGGUCAUCUACAUGAUUUCGCUCCUAUAAUUUUUCAUUAUUUGACAUCAAAUCAGGUAAGAUUACCGUAUGAACUUAACCA
rnacentral:misc_RNA from 1 species